GGAUGUGAGGUGAUCUGGCUUCAGUAUCUGUCGUCCAUUGAUCUCCAGGUUUGAUUGGCUGAUCUGGCCGCAUAGGUGGGCGUCCCCUUCCUCCCCCAUCACUCCAUGUGCAUCCCUUCCCAAAGCUGCGUGCUCAGUCCAAGAGGAGACCUUCUACAACUGGAGGAGGACAAGUCUUUGGUCGAGGGUAUAUGGGUAGCUGUGCUCUCCUGCUAGAACCUCCAAACAAGCUCUCAAGGGAAAGUUCAUCAUGGUGGGGAGAGGACGGGAGGAGCAGGAAGCUGGAGUCACAUUGUCACAUCACCAGGGAGGACUUA
rnacentral:snRNA from 1 species